rnacentral:rRNA from 1 species
GAUGAACGCUGGCGGCGUGCCUAAUACAUGCAAGUCGAGCGAACGGACGAGAAGCUUGCUUCUCUGAUGUUAGCGGCGGACGGGUGAGUAACACGUGGAUAACCUACCUAUAAGACUGGGAUAACUUCGGGAAACCGUAGCUAAUACCGGAUAAUAUUUUGAACCGCAUGGUUCAAAAGUGAAAGACGGUCUUGCUGUCACUUAUAGAUGGUUCCGCGCUGCAUUAGCUAGUUGGUAAGGUAACGGCUUACCAAGGCAACGAUGCAUAGCCGACCUGAGAGGGUGAUCGGCCACACUGGAACUGAGACACGGUCCAGACUCCUACGGGAGGCAGCAGUAGGGAAUCUUCCGCAAUGGGCGAAAGCCUGACGGAGCAACGCCGCGUGAGUGAUGAAGGUCUUCGGAUCGUAAAACUCUGUUAUUAGGGAAGAACAUAUGUGUAAGUAACUGUGCACAUCUUGACGGUACCUAAUCAGAAAGCCACGGCUAACUACGUG